GGCCGGUCGGCAGCCGCCGCUUCCUUCGCCAUCUUGUAAACGCAUGCAAGUGAAGCACCCACAUCAAACGUUUAUGCCAAUAUCGAUUCAAUAAACUCAAACCAGACGAAGAUUACAAACUGGUCAGUAUUUAAAUAAUGACAUAUUGCUGAAUGCUAGUGAAUCGUAAAUAUAGAAUAUAACAAACUAUAGCGUAUUAUAAAAUAUUGAAAGAACAGCUCACAACAAGGUAACGUUUAAUUUGAGUGGUUCACGUUGCGUGCGGCGAGGCGCCGACACCCGAGACUAGCUUAGCUGGGAGCUAACGAGGCAUGACUUCAUUUAAAGCACCUUUUUAUUUGGCUUGGUUAUGUUUUUUAAGAUUUUUUUUUGUUACUUUCCUGAGAAUUGCGGUAGCAUCGAAUAUACACGUCGCUUUAGAAGUAUGACUGCAUUAUGAAUAAAUAAAAAUAAUUUGGUUACGCUUGAAAAUUUUAGCAGUUGCAAUAAUUUCCCGUAAAAUGUUCGCGCAAAGUUAACCGUUUCAUUAGGAAGGAUGAGAAAGGCGUGUAUGUUGGAUGUUACCGCAACCAGGAGAGAUUCUGUCGCGGAAGGCGACGCUUACCUCCUUUGUGAGACCUGCUAGCAGCUAGCAAUAAAAUUGUGGUUUUGUGAUAAAUACAAUAAAAUUGACAACUUAAUAAUUAAAUAAUUGAAACGUAAUCAUAAUUUUUGUACAAGUUUUUAAUGUUUAAAAAGAACAGCAAUGUAUUCAGUACAUGUGUGACUGCGGGGAGACGCAACUGCAUAUUUGAUACGUUUACGAGAUUUUAGCUAAUUGUAUUAAGCCAUUUUCGUGCUAUUUUUGUAAUGUUAACUAGGCGCUUGUGUUGUGUUAGUCUUAGUGUAAAUUAUAUUCAUUCCUCUCCUGUUUAUGUUUCGUGUGAGUCCUAUAUCGAGGGCGCCUAUCUACUCGAUCGGGUAGCCGUAUUCAUUUAAAUAUUGAAAACUCAUUGGGAUACCCAACGUUCUCGUGGAGCGAAUAAAGAUGACAUUUCACAAGUCACGCAACGCGGGAUUUGAAAACGAUACCGCUUUGAAACGCGGUAUGGUUUCCAAGGCUCGGCUUAGCGUUGGCGGUCGAGAGUUCAUCUGUAGUCCAUCGUCGCUCUUUACCAUCACAAUCACAAAUAGGAGAGGAAUGCAAUGGUCGAUAAUAUCAUGUGUUACUGAGAUAAGUAGUAUUUUUGUACACGGCCGGCGGGGGCGCGGGCGGAGUGUGGCCCCCGCGAGGCGCUAGUGUGUUCAAGUUAAUAUUAUAACCGCAUCUACCUCACUUGUAAAGCAUUGAAGACUGAUUGGAAUUAAUGUAACGGUGGUCAGAUCACCGCUUAGAAGUCUGUUGUCUACUGAUACUUUACGCCCAAAAAUUCUACUGUGUGCUUUACAAUUUAAGAUAUCAGUUUCGUUUCUACGUACAUAGUAUUAUUGUAAUUAUUGUGCAACUCGUGCAUGACGUGGUGGACAGCAGCCUUUUCUUUUUUUAUAUCUAUAUCUUACGUUAACUUCGGUAAUACUGUUGAAAGAAGACUGAAAUUUUAUAAAUGUUCCUAUAUUUUAAUUUAGUGCUACCAUAUUUCGUUUACAUUAUUUUACCCUUUCGGUAAUUAUCAUUACAUUCUUAUCUUAUCAAUUGUAUGUGACGCUAUAUAAUGUCAUGAAAUUUUUGAAAAUUUUAAUGGAAUUUUGUAUGGAAAUUUAAUAAAGUGAUUGAUAGAACAA